GAUUUUGGAGCACGGGUGGCCGAUUUUGGUGUAGCCAAGGUGGUUGAUUCCACCACCGGAAAGCCUAAGUCCAUGUCUAUCAUUGCAGGGUCUUGUGGUUACAUUGCUCCAGAGUAUGCUUACACACUUCGAGUGAAUGAGAAGAGUGAUAUCUACAGCUUUGGUGUGGUUAUUCUGGAGUUGGUCACAAGGAAACUUCC
rnacentral:misc_RNA from 1 species